rnacentral:rRNA from 1 species
AACGAACGCUGGCGGCAUGCCUAACACAUGCAAGUCGAACGAGACCUUCGGGUCUAGUGGCGCACGGGUGCGUAACGCGUGGGAACCUGCCCUUAGGUUCGGAAUAACUCCCCGAAAGGGGUGCUAAUACCGGAUAAUGUCUUAGGACCAAAGAUUUAUCGCCUUUGGAUGGGCCCGCGUUGGAUUAGCUAGUUGGUAGGCUAAAAGCCUACCAAGGCGACGAUCCAUAGCUGGUCUGAGAGGAUGAUCAGCCACACUGGGACUGAGACACGGCCCAGACUCCUACGGGAGGCAGCAGUGGGGAAUAUUGGACAAUGGGCGAAAGCCUGAUCCAGCAAUGCCGCGUGAGUGAUGAAGGCCUUAGGGUUGUAAAGCUCUUUUACCCGGGAUGAUAAUGACAGUACCGGGAGAAUAAGCUCCGGCUAACUCCGUG